AUUCUUAGGAUUUUUAUUUUAAGGAAUCCAUUUCUAGGAAUUUAUGGGUCAGAAUAUGUUUAUAUUCUUUUAAAUUAUGCCUCUGACAGAUGUUUUUCCAAGAAAGACUCUAGGAAUUGACCCUCCUACCAUUUAUACAUAGUUUCCUAUUCCUUAUAUGCUCACCAGCACUGGGUAUUAUCACUCUUUAAUUUUUUUUAUUUUUUUAAAAAUUUUUUUGCAAAUCUACUGUAUGAGAAUCAUUCUGCUGUUAGACUGUAGAUUGUUUCAUCAGUUUGUUUACAUUGGUCAUUUAGUUUUUAGCUCCCCAUUUUUAUUGAUCAUUGAGUUUUCCUCUUUUGGGGCUUCUUAACAGUCCUUGACCUUCAAAAAUGAGUGGUUCCAAGUUGGAGGGAAGGCUGUCAUGACAGCCUGAGGGGCAGGAAGGAAAUGUGCUGAUGUUGGCUGGAGCCACGUGGCCCUGGAGCUGGGCUGGGACAGCAGGAGAGAUGGGUGGGCAGUGGGGUUGGUGAGUACCUAGAGUCCUGCGUUCUCACCCCAACUCUUCUCCCCAUCCUUCUAAGGGUGACUCACUUACCUCUUUAUUUAAGGGGAAGGCACAUGUAUUUGUUUUUCUCUCUUCAAAUUAGAGGAUUACUGUCUGGGAAGUUCCCACUGUGGCUCAGCGGUAAUGAACCUGACUAGUAACCGUGAGGAUGCAGCUUCGAUCCCUGGCCUUACUCAGUGGGUUAAGAUCUGGCAUUGCCCUGAGCUGUGGUGUAGGUUGCAGAUUCAGCUUGUAUCCCAUGUUGCUGUGGCUGUGGUGUAGGCUGGCAGCUGCAGCUCUAAUUCAGCCCCUAGCUUGGGAACUUCCAGACACCUCAGGUUCGGCCCUAAAAAGAAAACAAACAAAUAAUCAAAGAAAUAAAAACACUGGAGGAGAUGGGGCAAGUGUGGAGGCAGCCACCCUGGGGCUCCAAGCACAAGCCUCCCUGUGCCCUGCUGCAUUCACGGUCAUGGCUGCUGCACCCUCAGGUGGCUGGUCCACAUCCCAGGCAGGAAGAAGCAGAAGCAAAGGCGGAGGGCUCUCUCUGGGGGACCCCGUCUCUGUAUCUAGACAGGAUGGCUCUGUGCCCAGUGCCCUCUGGUUGCAUCUGGACCCACCUUCUCUUCCUUCCUACUCUGCCCUAUUCCCCGGAGUCCCCAGCGUGUAGUUCUCUUAACCUUUGGGUUUGGCCAAUGGAGGUUGGAUAGGCUGGGAUAUUUCGGCUGCCCCCUGGCCCCUGAGCCUGGGUGGCAACAGCGAAUGCUGUCUCUUGUCCCCAGGGCUGAAUCCUCCUUCCUGGCUCUGAGCCCACCUGCACUGCUGCCUCUGUCUCCCUAUAAGUUCUCCCAGUGACUCCUGAAGCAGCGUGUCUGUCUUGUCCUGGAUCUUGACAAUGCAACUUUCCUACAGAUAGAAAUAUUUCCUUGUUGAUCAGAAAUGCCAUAGAGUCAUGGAGUUCCCAUUGCGGAUCAGUGGGUUCAGAACCCUACAUAGUGUCCAUGAGGAUGCAGGUUCCAUCCCUGGCCUCACUCAGUGGGUUAAGGAUCUGGUGUUGCCACAAGCUGCUGGUGUAGAUCACAGAUGCUGCUCGGAUCUGGCGUGGCUGUGGCUGUGGCUGUGGCUGCAGCUCUGAUUUGACUCCUAGCCUGGGAACUUCCAUGUGGCAAAGGUGUAGCCAUAAAAAAACAAAACACAACAAAACAAAUGGAAAUGUCAGUCAUCUUUGUCCACAAGGGGAACUAGAAAAUGUAUAUAGUAAAGAAAGGUGAGGGAGCAGUGGGCAUGGAUGGCCUUCAGUCAGCUCACUCACACAUCUAAAUGGGUUGGAGCAGGUGGACCAGAGCUUAGUUAAGGCUCUUGUGAUAAUCCGGGGCUAAGUGGUUAGUUCUGCACUUGUGAGUGGGGAAGAAGUGGAGGUGGCAGAAUCCAAACUUCAACUCUGAGUUUUGUGACUGGAGGCAGUCGGAUGGCCUGAAGGGCUCAAAAGGAGCCUGGGCUGAAGCUGGCCCUGCUGAUCCCUGGGGAAGCCCGUCUUUAAGAGCCCCACCACUCUUUGACAGAAUUCCUUAGGUUUCUCUUGUCCCUGCAUUAACACUGCUUCCUCUUUCCAUUGUGAUCUUAAUUGUCCUGUUACCAUGGUGCUUUAAAAAUUACUUUAAAAACAGGAGUUCUGCUCAUGGCUCAGUGGUUAAUGAACCUGCCUAGUAUCCACGAGGACGAGGGUUCAAUCCCUGGCCCCGUUCAGUAGGUUAAAGAUCUGGUAUUGCUGUGAGUUGUGGUAUAGGUUGCAGAAUCGCUUGGAUCCCCUGUUGCUGUGGCUGUGGUGUAGGCCAGCAGCUACAGCUCUGAUUAGACUCUUAACCUGGGAACCUCCACAUGUUGCCUGUGCAACC
rnacentral:lncRNA from 1 species